GCUGUUGGCAGCCAUGGCCCGGGCGCAGCCACAUCCCCGUCCGCUCCGCUCCGCCCCCCAGCAAUGACACGGCUUUAACAGUCACCAGUGUUCUGUGUCUUCCCAGGUGUCACUGUUGGAACCCCUGAUGUGACAGCUUCACCAUGGUUACGUCAACUUUGAUGGAUGCUGCCUACCUUAGCAUCUCCCGUUUCAGGUGUUCAGCAGAAACCUGUCUGUUCUUAAAGGCUGCCGGCUGACGUGUUCCAGCUGAGAAAACCCAUCUCAUCCAGGCCCGCAGCCGCGAGCUCCACUGUGGCGGAUGCAGGGGCCCAGGCCCAGCCCAGGGCGAGCCACAGGGCUGUGGGCCCUGUGGGCAUGGCCCAGGUCCCCAGUGAGCUCCAGUGGUCCUCUCCCUGCGCGUCCUGCUGCUUCUCUGGAGCACCCCUACGCUCUCCUCCCUGCUCUCUUCGAGCUCACACACCUGUCUGAUGUGCCGGUGCACCCCAGGGGCACUGUGAGGAGCGUUUGACUGGGUGGGGAAGGUUCUAGCUGCCAGGGUGACUCAGGAAAAUAUCACCAACCAAGGCAGGUGCGGGGAACCACGCAGAAUGGGGUAGGAACUGGGAAUAUGAGCCCAGUGUCAAGGCCACACAAGGAGAAAGCAUGGAUUUUGCACAGAGGGGUUAGAGGCAUGUCCACGCUGGGCCCUAGGGAGGAAGGAGGACUCCAGCAGCUUCUGAAAGGGGGCAGGUGACCUGCGGCCAAGGAACCUCAAUCACAUAGCACUUGGCUUUACUUUAAAGUCACUGACUAUAUUGGACUCUAGGCCCUGAGGGGCAGGUCCAUAACCCAUCCCUGGUUUUGUCCACAAGCAGGUCCUGUCCUGGCUCAGCACACAUGCUGCAGUCAGGGGAUGAGACAGGACAAUGGUCCCCAAGAUGUCCACACCCUGACCGGGGGAACCAUACUUUGUAUGGAAAAGGGACGCUGCAUACAUGACUGAGCCAAGGGCCUUGGUGGGUUGGGGGUGGGGAGCGCUUAGCGUGGAUGGUCCAGAUGGACGCAGUGUGAGCAGAGGUCCUUUCAAGAGGGAGCUGUGAGGCGGGAAGCAGAGACGGGUGAGGGAGCACAGCACCUCCUCUCCUCUGCAGCUAGUUCGUUUACCUUCAUCACACACCGCUUCCUCUCUCAAACCUUCCCUGGCCAUCUGUAAGAAAAGCAAUGGAAAUGUCAUUUUAAGGCUUUCCACCUGGGGCUGGAAGUGGGCCCAGGACGAAAAAAGGACCAGACCGAAGUGUGUCCCCCCGAGCUCGUGCCGUCCUGGGGCCACGGGCCGGAGUGAGCCUGUCAGCACCCCGCAGACCGCUGCUUCGGGCUUGAGACACCGUCCAACUCCUUGGAGAAGGUGGGAGGAAAACGACGCUUCUUCCAGCCAGGCGGCCCGGUCCUCUGCAGAGGUCACUUCACUUCUACGACACCCACAGGGCGUGGCUCUGUGUUCCGGGAAUCGGUGUCUCUGCUAAGGGCUCACACCUGGAUUUCUGGAGCCGGCAGGUAGGACCUCCUGGUCUCAGUGACUGGGGCCGCCUCUCGCUGAGGUGGGGGCAGCCUUGGUGUCGGCUCCUUUUCUCAUUUUCCUUCCCAUUAGGUGGAGCGGGUCGUACGUUGCCACCUCCCUGCCUCUGGGACGUAUCCGGACUGUAUCCCUGUUUAUCCGGACGUCGUUAGGGCCGUGAGGCACAUGCCGGGUCGCCCCUUUACUGAACAUGCAGCCUGGAUGGGCUUCCGACUGUCUCGAGGACUGCUCUGUGGGCGAAGACAGAGGCAGGCUUAAAGCCAAAUCAGCAAGCACCUCCAGGUGGCUAGUCCUUCACAUUCAGGCCAGAAACUCGUCAGGAGCAAAGCCCCAAGAAGACGAACUAGCACUAAUUAGUGACGUGAGACAGACAUAGAGGAGCAAAUACUGUUUCCUCUCACUCGUAUGAGGCACCUGAACAGUCAAGUUCACAGAGACAGAAAGUGUAUGGUUGGAGGGGUCGGGGGCGGGGAGUCGUUUAAAGGGGGCAGAGCUUCUGUUUGGCAAGAUGUAAAGAGCCAUGGACAGUGGGUAACAUGGUGGAGCUGGACACGUAGAAAUAAUUAAGGUGGUAAAUUUCAUGCUGUGUAUAUUUUACCACAUUUUAAAAAAGAUCUCACACUUAAAUGUUAUUUAUCUGACUGAGUUGCCAGUCCUGGCUCUGCCACCCCCCUUACCUCGUGGGAUCUGAUGAAUUUUAAAAGUUAAGAAAGUGAACACGUUAUGGAACCUCAGGGUUUGACGACCGUUCGGUUCACACCGGUCCCGUGGGAACUAGAGUCGAAGGGACCAGACUCCAGCCCGGCGCCCCCAGCCCUCUCUGCACUCACUGUUGGCCUGGAAAGAUGCAAACACAGUUUCUAACUGCUCAAGGCCACAUCCUUAGGAUGACCCCAGCCCCCCACCCCCCCAAAAUGUCUGCCUGAGGAAAUCCGAGGCUGCCUGAAGACUCUGCUGUUUGUCCAGCCAAAACCUGCCACAGGCCCUGGUCUCCCAACCUCUGUGUGAGGGUCGGCACCUAACUGGAUCACCUCCUGUUAGACAAUCCCCAGAUGGGUUCCCAGGCACCUAACUGGAUCACCUCCUGUUAGACAACCCCCAGAUGGGUUCCCAGGCCCACCCCCUUCCACCCCUGGACAGCCCUUUGCUUCUCUAACUCUACAGAGCCUGCUGCUGCUGCUGCUAAGUCGCUUCAGUCGUGUCCGACUCUGUGCGACCCCAUAGACAGCAGCCCACCAGGCUCUGCCGUCCCUGGGAUUCUCCAGGCAAGAACACUGGAGUGGGUUGCCAUUUCCUUCUCCAUUGCGUGAAAGUGAAAAGUGAAAGUGAAGUUGCUCAGUCGCGACUGACUCGUGCGGACCCCAUGGCCUGUAGCCCACCAGGCUCCUCCGUCCGUGGGGUUUUCUAGGCAAGAGGACUGGAGUGGGGCGCCACUGCCCACCCUAGAAAACUCCUGAUCACCUCUGGGCAUACAGUUGAGUUCUGUUCCUGCUGCAAUAGUGUGUUACUGAUUAAAAUCUGUUCUGACCACUAUACCUGUGGCUUUGUUUAUCUCUGGCAGUUCUGAUAAAACUUUAUUUAUGGACACUGAAAUCUGAAUUUCUUGAAAUUUUCACAUCAUGAAAUCUUUUUCCUCUUUGAUGUUUCUUAACCAUUUAGAACUAUAAAACCAUUCUUAGCAAGAGACAGGCCCCAGAUUGACCCUCAGC
ensembl:lncRNA